rnacentral:rRNA from 1 species
GACGAACCGUACGAACGUUAUUCGGAAUCACUGGGCUUAAAGGGUGCGUAGGCUGCGCAGCAAGUUGGGUGUGAAAUCCCUCGGCUUAACCGAGGAACUGCGCCCAAAACUGCUGUGCUCGAGGGAGAUAGAGGUGAGCGGAACUUAGGGUGGAGCGGUGAAAUGCGUUGAUAUCCUAAGGAACACCGGUGGCGAAAGCGGCUCACUGGAUCUCUCCUGACGCUGAGGCACGAAAGCUAGGGUAGCGAACGGG